rnacentral:rRNA from 1 species
ACGGGUGCGUAACGCGUGGGAAUCUGCCCUUAGGUUCGGAAUAACAGCUGGAAACGGCUGCUAAUACCGGAUGAUAUCGCGAGAUCAAAGAUUUAUCGCCUGAGGAUGAGCCCGCGUUGGAUUAGGUAGUUGGUGGGGUAAAGGCCUACCAAGCCGACGAUCCAUAGCUGGUCUGAGAGGAUGAUCAGCCACACUGGGACUGAGACACGGCCCAGACUCCUACGGGAGGCAGCAGUGGGGAAUAUUGGACAAUGGGCGCAAGCCUGAUCCAGCAAUGCCGCGUGAGUGAUGAAGGCCCUAGGGUUGUAAAGCUCUUUUACCCGGGAAGAUAAUGACUGUACCGGGAGAAUAAGCCCCGGCUAACUCCGUGCCAGCAGCCGCGGUAAUACGGAGGGGGCUAGCGUUGUUCGGAAUUACUGGGCGUAAAGCGCACGUAGGCGGCUUUGUAAGUCAGAGGUGAAAGCCUGGAGCUCAACUCCAGAACUGCCUUUGAGACUGCAUCGCUUGAAUCCAGGAGAGGUCAGUGGAAUUCCGAGU